UUAUCGCCAAAGGAUCGGCCCGCGUUGGAUUAGGUAGUUGGUGGGGUAAUGGCCUACCAAGCCGACGAUCCAUAGCUGGUUUGAGAGGAUGAUCAGCCACACUGGGACUGAGACACGGCCCAGACUCCUACGGGAGGCAGCAGUGGGGAAUCUUAGACAAUGGGGGAAACCCUGAUCUAGCCAUGCCGCGUGAGCGAUGAAGGCCUUAGGGUUGUAAAGCUCUUUCGUGGGGGAAGAUAAUGACUGUACCCCAAGAAGAAGCCCCGGCUAACUCCGUGCCAGCAGCCGCGGUAAUACGGAGGGGGCUAGCGUUGUUCGGAAUUACUGGGCGUAAAGCGCACGUAGGCGGACCGGAAAGUCAGAGGUGAAAUCCCAGGGCUCAACCUUGGAACUGCCUUUGAAACUCCUGGUCUUGAGGUCCAGAGAAGUGAGUGGAAUUCCGAGUGUAGAGGUGAAAUUCGUAAGAUAUUCGGAGGAACACCAGUGGCGAAAGGCGGCUC
rnacentral:rRNA from 1 species